UACGUAGGGUGCGAGCGUUGCCCCGGAUUUAUUGGGCGUAAAGGGCGCGUAGGCGGGGCCGCGCGUCGCACGUGAAAUCUCCCGGCUUACCUGGGGAGGGGUCGUGCGAUACGGCGGUCCUCGAGCGCGGGAGAGGGAAGCGGAAUUCCCGGUGUAGUGGUGGAAUGCGUAGAGAUCGGGAGGAACACCAGUGGCGAAGGCGGCUUCCUGGACCGUGGCUGACGCUGAGGCGCGAAAGGCGUGGGGAGCGAACAGG
rnacentral:rRNA from 1 species